GUGUUCGUAGAAAUGAGAGAUGAUUGGCAUCUCGCCUAGCAGGAAUGGGAACGGUCUUCGAGCUUUCUUGUUCACACAUAUCCGAUUAAGGUACUACACUUAGGUGGAUCUCUAACUGAAUUUUAU
rfam:Vitis vinifera, whole genome shotgun sequence of line PN40024, unoriented chromosome 9, chr9